CCCUACUGCUAUCGGGGUGGGACUAAGACAUGCGAGUCGAGCGUCUCCAGCUAUGGUGAGACGCGGCAGACGGCUCAGUAACACGUGGCUAACCUACCCUCAGGACGGGGACAAACCCGGGAAACUGGGGCUAAUACCCGAUAGGCGAGGGCGCCUGGAAUGGUUCUUCACCCAAAGGGCUUUGGAAGCAUGCUUUUCAAAGUCGCCUGGGGAUGGGGCCGCGUCCGAUCAGGUUGUUGGUGAGGUAACGGCUCACCAAGCCUAUAACCGGUACGGGCCGUGAGAGCGGUAGCCCGGAGAUGGGCACUGAGACAAGGGCCCAGGCCCCACGGGGCGCAGCAGUCGCGAAAACUCCGCAAUGCACGAAAGUGUGACGGGGCUACCCCGAGUGCCGUCCGCUGAGGAUGGCUUUUCCUCGGUGUAACUAGCCGGGGGAAUAAGGAGAGGGCAAGACUGGUGUCAGCCGCCGCGGUAAUACCAGCUCUCCGAGUGGUAGGGAUGAUUAUUGGGCUUAAAGCGUCCGUAGCCGGCUUAGCAAGUCUCCUGUUAAAUUCAGCGACCUAAUCGUUGAGCCGCGGGAGAUACUACUAGGCUAGGAGGCGGGAGAGGUCGACGGUAUUUCCGGGGUAGGGGUGAAAUCCUAUAAUCCCGGGAGGACCACCAGUGGCGAAGGCUGUCGACUAGAACGCGCUCGACGGUGAGGGACGAAAGCUGGGGGAGCGAACCGGAUUAGAUACCCGGGUAGUCCCAGCCGUAAACGAUGCGGGCUAGGUGUUGGGGUGGCUACGUGCCACUUCAGUGCCGCAGGGAAGCCAUUAAGCCCGCCGCCUGGGGAGUACGGCCGCAAGGCUGAAAC
rnacentral:rRNA from 1 species